UUUAAUGUUUACUUAUCAUGUUAAGUAUAUUUGUAUCAAAAUUAAUUAUUACUCUCAGCGAGAAUUAGUAAAUAUGAUUUACGUUAUCGGUGAAUGCCUUGGGAACUGUUUUUUGGCUUCAAGAGUUUAUGCGGAAAAAUUUCUUAAUAACCGACAUCCUGAUGAUAGAGUGUUGAAGAUAUGAAAAGAACGACUCGAGCAUACUAGAAGCGUAGAAUACAAGCAGCAAACUAGAACGAAAACAGUUUUAAAUGAAGAAUACCAAUUAGCAAGUCGGGUGUAGAAACACCGGAAAUUAGUAUAAGACAAAUAAGUAAGAACUUAGAAAUAUCGAAAUUAUCCGUAGGAAAAUGUCUGAAGGAAAAUAAAAUAUCAUCCCUAUCAUGCUCAGAUACAUCACGAAUUGGCCGAAAAUGAUUUUGAAAAAAAAAAGAACUUUUUGUCAAUGGGCACAAAAGCAGCAGAAAACAAGAUUUUUUUUAAUUAACGGCAUAAUUUUCACUUUUACGAUACAGAAAAUUCGCAUCGAGUUGUUGCUAAUAAUUUUCAACACCGAUGGAACAUCAAUGUUUGGGGUGGAAUAGUACAUGAUUUUGUUAUUGGUACAUAAUUUUUUGAAAAUGGUGUAACAGGGGAAGUUAUUCUAAAUUUCUUAAGAGAGGAUUUUCCAUCGUCCCGACUUUGUAGGGCAACAGAUGUGUCUACAGUUGGAUGGUGCACCAGCUGACUUCAGUGCAAAUGUCAGGGAGCAUAUCACGCACCAAUUUGGUAAUAGAUGGAUUGGAAGGCUAGGUCCCAUUGGAUGGCCUCCGGAUUUAACGCCUCUGGAUUUCUUUUUGUGGGGAAAUGUUAAAUCCGAAGUUUAUCGUAUUGUACCCACAACUAGGGAAAAUAUGGUGGAGCGCAUACACGAGUCUUUUAGAUGUAUAACACCUUCCACGCUUCGUGCAGUUAGAAGAAAUUUCGCACGUAGGGUUCAUUUAUGUUUGGAGCAAAAUGGUAGACACUUUGAGCAAUUUUUGUGAUAUAACUCUUUUUAUAAUGUUGUUAAUGUUAUUGGUGAAUUCUUGAUGUAACUGAACUUGAUGGUAGUGAUUUAUUUUUCUUGUGGGAUUUUCCUACGGACGGUUUCUGAAUUUGUAAUUCCUUACCUAUUUCCCUUACCCUAAUUUCCGGAUUUUCUACAACCGACUUGGUAACUGUCAAUUUGAUUUCUUCAUUUAAAACUGUUUUUGUUCUAGUUUGUUUUUUGUACUCUACGCUUCCGGUAUGCUCUAAUCAUUUUCAAGUAAAAAUAAAUGUUGUAAUGCCAAUGGAAAAA